GCCAGCAGUCAUAUCACCCUGCAACUCACAACUUGCAACCCACUGAAGCUAAGCAGGUGUGAGCCUGGUCAGUAUGGGAGACCUCCUGGGAAAAACUAAGGUUGCUGCUGGAA
rfam:Lepisosteus oculatus linkage group LG2, whole genome shotgun sequence.